rnacentral:rRNA from 1 species
GUCGAACGCUGGCGGCGUGCUUAACACAUGCAAGUUGAACGGAAAGGCCCUGCUUGUGUGGGGUGCUCGAGUGGCGAGCGGGUGAGUAACCCGUGAGUAUCCUGCCCUUGACUUUGUGAUAUCUUCAGGAAGCUGGGGCUAAUACCGGAGAGGAGCUCCUGCUGCAUGGUGGGGUUUGGACAGCUUCGGCGGUUGUGGAUGGACUCGCGGCUUAUCAGCUUGUUGGUGGGGUAGUGGCUUACCAGGGCUUUGACGGGUAGCCGGCCUGAGAGGGUGACCGGCGACAUUGGGACUGAGAUACGGAGCAGACUCCUACGGGAGGCAGCAGUGGGGAAUAUUGCACAAUGGGCGGAAGCCUGAUGCAGCAACGCUGCGUGCGGGAUGACGGCCUUCGGGUUGUAAACCGCUUUCGCCUGUGACGAAGCGUGAGUGACGGUAAUGGGUAAAGAAGCACCGGCUAACUACGUG